UACCUCUGGUGUCUCCUCAUUUGCGGAUAAAUCUUUUGCCUUUUACUAAAGAUUUCCGUGGGGAGGCACAAUACAAUGAGUCUUGUCUCAUUUUUUUCAGCUCUGUCUUCCGACGGAGU
rnacentral:snRNA from 1 species